AAUAAAGAAAGAAGUGGAAUAUUUAUAUUUUGACAAGUGUUAUUGUAUCAAUAAAAUACUUAGUUUCAUUUUCCCAUUAAAAUCCUCACUUUAUCAAUGAAAUCCUAAUAUCUAACAAAUUCUUCUCUUCAUUGGCAACUCUGCCUUAGUAAUGAAUUUAUUUAGUUCUCACGCAGUUACUACUAAAUAAACACGUUAAAAUUUCUAGUCCAUCUUUAAGCGUAUUUUAAUUAUAGUAAAAGUGAUCUAAAUAAUAUAAAAUUCCUAAUAUAUUUAUCUUUACAAAGUAAUCUAAUAAGAAAUCUAUUAAAAAUCAUAAAAAUUAAGUGUUAAAAACAAGAUUUAAUGAAAAUUAAACAGUAAAAAAAUAGGAGUUUGUGUCAGUGAUUUGCAUUAAAAUUUGAUGUGUGUUGUUGUUUUUUUUUUCCUUUUUUAUGAAAGAAGAGCAUGAGAAAGUAAGAGUAAUAAGAAAAGCAUAAAGUAAAAGUACAAAUAGAACAAAAAAUAAAAAAGUGCAAUGUUUAUAUUUGACAACAAGUGUUUUUUUGUUGUUUUUAAUGUAAUGCUAAAGGGCAAGUUGCGCAUAAUGUAAAUAAAGUAAAUAAAACGGGAAACUGUUCGGGCGUUAAUAUUUUUUCUUUAAUAAGGUAUAAGAAUUUGAAUGAUAUUAGCUAACACGCACAGUGGGAAUUUUAAAGAUCGUUUUCUGUUUCUAUGCAUUUUGCCAAACUGCUAUAGAUAAAACGAUUUUUAAAUAUCUUUUUUUUAAAUAAAAGUAAAAUGAAAAAAUUACCAAACAAAAAACCAGAAUGUUGACGUAAAACAUCUUCGUUAGCGCGACGGGUAACACCAUCCUUACCCCUGACCUUUUCAACAGUUAGAAUUCCCAUGGGAUCCAAUUCAGAAGCCAAAUGACCACGAGACUAUAUUAUAUGAACACAAUGACACGGAAGACUAAGUAAUCACUAGGAUCAACUCAAGUAGGAAUUUCAAAACGUUUGUGAUCAGCAGAAUUCAUCCAAAAGCGAGGAAAUUGGUUACCAUACGAAUUGAAGCUGGGAGACCUUGAAAGACUAUUCCAUAGACGAGUCGACUGGCUGAUCUCUCUGGGGUUCGCAGUUAUAAGCAGUUAUUUCGGCACGGAAUCCAUAUAUUGCGAGAUAGAUGAGAAAAGGCCAUAGCUAACAGUGUGCCCUAUACUCUGAAUAAAUUCAUAUUAUACAUACUUUUCAAAAUAAAAACUAAACAUUAAAAAAAAUUACGCAUUUUUAAGAUAUACACC